rnacentral:lncRNA from 1 species
GGUCAAGCACCAGAGUUAGAGCUAAACCGUGAGUCUGCUAUUCAGGUGGGCUUUCUAUGUAUAAACUAAAAUUAUAUAUUAGAAUUGUUAAGACUUUAUGCUUAUGAAUUUAAAUGAUAUUGUCAAUGCCUAAAUGCUUUAUGUUUUAUUAUUAAUUGCCUAUCUGAUGUUAAUCGAAUUCGGAUUCUGGAUGGGACCGCAAAUCCCUUCGGAAUUAGUGUACACCCUUGUGAUCGUGAGUCAUCUAGCGGGUUGGCCGAUCAUAGUGUCCGUAGAGGGAGGCCUCCCUCUCGGCACGAGUUACUGAUAUGGUGAUUAAUGAUAUAAAAUACCUGCGCGGGUUAUUGAUGAAAGAAAUGAUAUUAUUUUGGUAAAUACGAGUCUUUAAGGAAAACCCUCGUAUCUUACUACUGUUGAAAGGCUUGACAAUAAAAUAUUAUGCAUAUAUGUAAAUUUCGGCAAGUGUCCACUAAGUACUUUUGUACUUAGCCCUGCAUGUAUUUUUAAAUGUGCAGGUUGAGCUGUGAUCGAGGAUGUAGUGUGCAAGCGAAGCUUUUGUCAAUUUAGGACGAGAACCUCAGAGUAGAGUAUAUGUCUUCAUACAUAUACUCAAGUUAUUGUUAUUCCGCUGCGAACACUGAUUAUGUUAAGAUAUUAUGUCAUUUGUCAAACAAUAUGUAUUAUUUAAUAAUGUACUAAAACCAUUGAGUACCCCAUUUUGGGAUAAUAUUAUGUACGGUCCCCUUGUGGCCUUCGUUGAUAUCUA